CAGCCUGUCCAGGUAUGUACAUGUUGUCAGCCUGUCCAUGUGCACACGUGUUGUCAGCCUGUCCAGGUAUGUACAUGUUGUCAGCCUGUCCAGGUGCCCACGUGUUGUCAGCCUGUCCAGGUAUGUACAUGUUGUCAGCCUGUCCAUGUGCACACGUGUUGUCAGCCUGUCCAGGUAUGUACAUGUUGUCAGCCUGUCCAUGUGCACACGUGUUGUCAGCCUGUCCAGGUAUGUACAUGUUGUCAGCCUGUCCAGGUGCCCACGUGUUGUCAGCCUGUCCAGGUAUGUACAUGUUGUCAGCCUGUCCAUGUGCACACGUGUUGUCAGCCUGUCCAGGUAUGUACAUGUUGUCAGCCUGUCCAUGUGCACACGUGUUGUCAGCCUGUCCAGGUAUGUACAUGUUGUCAGCCUGUCCAUGUGCACACGUGUUGUCAGCCUGUCCAGGUAUGUACAUGUUGUCAGCCUGUCCAUGUGCACACGUGUUGUCAGCCUGUCCAGGUGCACAUGCAUGUUAUUAACCUGUAUGGUGUACAUGACACGCAUGCAUGUGUGUGUGACACUGAGAGUCCCCAGCACAAUAAGCAUGUCUCCCUCUCACACCCGGAUGGCAGUGCCCUGGGGCAGAUCUUAGCGUCUUCACUUUGGCCAGCACGUGCUGUCAUCCUAUUCUGGCCACCCUUGAUUAGGGGCUGUAGACAUUCAGACGGAGCUUCCUAGGGGUUCAGAUGAUCAUGGGGUAAGACGGAGCAUCACCUCCAGAGUGGGGGGUCUGGGUAACUUCCGUUGGCUGCAGAGUGCUGUGUGGCCUGAUAGGCACAGCUGGUGACCAUGCUGGGGUCUUCACAGGGUCCUGGAAGGAUCUGGAAAGGCUGUGUUUUCACCUCUGUGGUUGAGCCAAGGGAAAAGGGGAAGACAGGCCUUCGGGUAACACCUUCAUGAGAUGCUGUUGCAGGGACAGCCAGCAGCUUUUGCUGAACACACUUCCCCCUCACUUACCGUUCGGCCUGUUUUGGAUUCCUAUGCCCUGUGACGGUGUGAGGCUGCAUGCGUUGUCCCUCUGACUUCAAAUCCUUUGAAAUCCUGAACCAAGGCAGUGUACUGCUGCCCAGCUCCCCCCAUGGCGCAAUGCCCCUGCAGCCACAGAGGAGCCUCCGCAGGAUGCUGCCCUUGACUGUGGGCCCCCUCCAAGAAAGGGGGACAGUGUGGGACUUGACACAAGGUGUCCAUGUCUCUCCAGGCGUGGCCAACCGUGGGGGGAGCCAGACUCUGGAUUGGUCUUUCUCUGUGGUUCCUGCAUGGAGCGUUUGCUGGAGCUUGGGGCUCGGGCAGUGAUGUGGUUUUGCUUGCUCUCUGGUGAUGGUGGUUGGCCCCCAAAGCUGCUGGUAGAGAACCCCAGGUGUGGAGGUAGUGAAGUUGUGUUACACACAGUGAGCUUAGAUCUUUUAACCUGUAAAAA